AGAGCGAACGCUGGCGGCAGGCUUAACACAUGCAAGUCGAGCGCCCCGCAAGGGGAGCGGCAGACGGGUGAGUAACGCGUGGGAACGUACCUUUUGGUUCGGAACAACACAGGGAAACUUGUGCUAAUACCGGAUAAGCCCUUACGGGGAAAGAUUUAUCGCCGAAAGAUCGGCCCGCGUCUGAUUAGCUAGUUGGUGAGGUAACGGCUCACCAAGGCGACGAUCAGUAGCUGGUCUGAGAGGAUGAUCAGCCACAUUGGGACUGAGACACGGCCCAAACUCCUACGGGAGGCAGCAGUGGGGAAUAUUGGACAAUGGGCGCAAGCCUGAUCCAGCCAUGCCGCGUGAGUGAUGAAGGCCCUAGGGUUGUAAAGCUCUUUUAACGGGGAGAUAAUGACGGUACCCGUAGAAUAAGCCCCGGCUAACUUCGUGCCAGCAGCCGC
rnacentral:rRNA from 1 species